rnacentral:rRNA from 1 species
CGACCGGCGCACGGGUGAGUAACGCGUAUGCAACCUGCCCGUUUCAGCGGGAUAACCCGGAGAAAUCCGGCCUAAUACCGCAUGUGGCCGAGGGGAGGCAUCUUCUUUCGGCCAAAGGAGGCGACUCCGGAGACGGAUGGGCAUGCGUGACAUUAGCUAGUGGCGGGGUAACGGCCCACCAAGGCGACGAUGUCUAGGGGUUCUGAGAGGAAGGUCCCCCACACUGGUACUGAGACACGGACCAGACUCCUACGGGAGGCAGCAG